rnacentral:lncRNA from 1 species
AUGAUGGAUGAUCUGGACCGAUUUCGCCAAAGAAAACAAACUGGAUGUAUAUUCUGUGGAAAUAUGCAGGUCAGUCUGAUCCCACAUCCUGACCUCGGAGCGGCCGGCCGACUCCCCCCCGCGUCCAGAUGGCACUUUCGCAAAUCCCAUUUCAUCGACAAAAGGUGUUUUUCUUCAAGCUCGCCGCCACGGGUACAGGAUGUACUCUGGGGCCGAGGGAUCACACACGGAUUAGCCCUCGUCUAUUUGUGCCGCCGGCCAUGUUUGGGGGGCACAAAUAUAGAGGUCAGUAUUUACAUAUUUGGGCCUGAUGGCACAUUCAGGUUGUAUAUGUGUAUGUGCACACUUCAACUUUAUGAAGUAGUAAAUACUUUUGCUGUUUUCUCUCACAGUCACAUUGAAUUUAAAAGUAUAUUAAACAUGACAGAAAAAACGUCUGCACAUGAGACCCCUACUUCUGGCCGACUGUUCCCAGACAUACAAAGACUUUUCUGCCCCCAAAAAAUCGACCCCAAAAUUUUUCCACCCCCCUCAUGCUGACCCCCCUCUGUGCUGUUGAUGUAGUCCUCACUGCUGAGAAAGCAAGUGUCCUGCUGGUUAAACCCCUGAACGGCCAGACUGUCGGUAAGUAAGGCUCCACCUCCCAGGGGGGGCCCCGCCGAGAUUCUACAGGGGGAAUUAGCCCGUCCAGUGUCCAGGGGUCAGGAAAACACUUUGUGUUUGUACACACACAGAAAGAAAAACCUGUUAACAGCACUCUCGUCGCCAGCGAGUCCCCAAAUACCACCUGACAAAAAAUACUUUUUCAACAUGAGCAUGUCUUCCAUUUUAGGGGCCGUCAAGGGGCUGUGGAGUCAAACACAGACAGAGACUGGUUUGUCUCGAUACGAUUAAUUAUCGGACCUCAACUCGAGUGAGCUGCCUGCCACGUGGCCUGUGAGCGAGGACGCCCGCUCUGCCCCAAUCUGAGCAUCCAAUUACACACAGAGUGCAGACGAGGGGCAAGUCAUUUGUGUCCC